GCCGGAGUGGCGGAAUGGCAGACGCGGCGGACUCAAAAUCCGCUUCCGAGAGGAGUGUGGGUUCGACUCCCACUUCCGGCACCA
rnacentral:tRNA from 1 species